rnacentral:piRNA from 1 species
UGGGAANCAUCCAUGAACUAGGGCCCACA